ACCGAGUUUACAACUCCCAAACCCCUGUGAACAUACCAAUUGUUGCCUCGGCGGAUCAGCCCGCUCCCGGUAAAACGGGACGGCCCGCCAGAGGACCCCUAAACUCUGUUUCUAUAUGUAACUUCUGAGUAAAACCAUAAAUAAAUCAAAACUUUCAACAACGGAUCUCUUGGUUCUGGCAUCGAUGAAGAACGCAGCAAAAUGCGAUAAGUAAUGUGAAUUGCAGAAUUCAGUGAAUCAUCGAAUCUUUGAACGCACAUUGCGCCCGCCAGUAUUCUGGCGGGCAUGCCUGUUCGAGCGUCAUUUCAACCCUCAAGCCCAGCUUGGUGUUGGGACUCGCGAGUCAAAUCGCGUUCCCCAAAUUGAUUGGCGGUCACGUCGAGCUUCCAUAGCGUAGUAGUAAAACCCUCGUUACUGGUAAUCGUCGCGGCCACGCCGUUAAACCCCAACUUCUGAAUGUUGACCUCG
rnacentral:rRNA from 1 species